UUUUCGAACAAUUUAAAGACGAUGUUUUUAGGUGAACUUUGGUUUAAAAACGCAGGGCUUCCAUGUAGGCGCCAAAACGCCUUCCUGACGGACGUUAAGGCGACCUCCGACUGCUUACCGCCUUUACCCAUGUCUUCUACUAGAACACAUCUUAACUUUUUCUUCAUGCCGGCUUGAGGCAAGCCAUGGAAGCCCUAUAUAAACGUAGUAGUACACUUUACAAGU
ensembl:ncRNA M117.10 ncRNA